rnacentral:rRNA from 1 species
UUUGCGACACGCCGGUGGAUGGUUGUGUUUCCGGGGUUUUUGGGGUGUUUGGUUUGGUCGGGUUUGCGUUGGUGGCUGGGUUGGUGUAAGUUAUUCCCUUGCUGCCGGUCGGCGCGGGUCGCCCCGCUGGGGUGGUUCGGGUUGGCCGAGCGGUGGUGGUUUGAGAACUCAAGAGCGUGUUUGUACUACUUUGUAGAGUCAUUUUGAUUGCCAGUCCGAUUCCCGCUCCUUUGUUGGGAGUGGCCGAGGGGCCUGUGAUGGGGGUCGGGGUUUUGUGUGGAUCGUUUUCCUUAUAAACGGUCUCGUCAAUUAUGUUUGGAGUCAUCGUUCGGAUGUCUUCGCAAGGUUUUUUGUGGAGGGUUCGAUUCUGGCUCAGGAUGAACGCUGGCGGCGUGCUUAACACAUGCAAGUCGAACGGGAUCCCUGGCGCUUGCGCCGGGGUGAGAGUGGCGAACGGGUGAGUAAUGCGUGACCAACCUGCCCCAUGCACCGGAAUAGCUCCUGGAAACGGGUGGUAAUGCCGGAUGCUCCAGAUGACCGCAUGGGAUUCUGGGAAAGCUUUUGCGGCAUGGGAUGGGGUCGCGUCCUAUCAGCUUGUUGGUGGGGUGAUGGCCCACCAAGGCUUCGACGGGUAGCC